UACAGAGGGGGCAAGCGUUAUUCGGAAUUACUGGGCGUAAAGCGUGCGUAGGCGGUUGGCAAAGUCAGCUGUGAAAGCCCCGGGCUUAACCUGGGAAUGGCGGUUGAAACUAGUCGACUCGAAUCUGGCAGAGGGGGGUGGAAUUCCACGUGUAGCAGUGAAAUGCGUAGAGAUGUGGAGGAACACCGAUGGCGAAGGCAGCCCCCUGGGCUGAGAUUGACGCUCAGGCACGAAAGCGUGGGGAGCAAACAGG
rnacentral:rRNA from 1 species